GAUGAACGCUAGCUACAGGCUUAACACAUGCAAGUCGAGGGGCAGAGCAGUGUAGCAAUACAUGGGCGGCGACCGGCGCACGGGUGCGUAACGCGUAUCCAACCUUCCCGUUACUCAGGGAUAGCCUUCCGAAAGGGAGAUUAAUACCUGAUGGUGUUCAAAUUCCGCAUGUUAUUUGAACUAAAGAUUUAUCGGUAACGGAUGGGGAUGCGUGACAUUAGGUAGAUGGCGGGGUAACGGCCCACCAUGCCUACGAUGUCUAGGGGUUCUGAGAGGAAGGUCCCCCACACUGGAACUGAGACACGGUCCAGACUCCUACGGGAGGCAGCAGUGAGGAAUAUUGGUCAAUGGCCGGAAGGCUGAACCAGCCAAGUAGCGUGAAGGAUUAAGGUUCUAUGGAUUGUAAACUUCUUUUAUACGGGAAUAAAACCUCCCACGUGUGGGAGCUUGUAUGUACCGUAUGAAUAAGCAUCGGCUAACUCCGUGCCAGCAGCCGCGGUAACAC
rnacentral:rRNA from 1 species